CCCCGUCGUUCUGGCCCCCCGGGCCCGUGUUCUAGCCACGAGGCGAUGCUGCUUCCCCUGGCCAGAGACCGGGAUGUCCUCCAAGUCGUCAGCAGGGAAGGCGAGUGGUUUCUUGGAUGGCAGGCGUUUGCCAUGGACAGAGGCGGCCCCGAUCCUGAAGCAGAGUCGGCCCGGUGCGCGUGUCUGAAGAUGAGUUGGGUGGCGUGCGUGACACUUUCUCCCGAUCUGCUCAUAUAGAUGACGGUGCCAAGUGUCUACAGGCGAGGGAUGGAAUCGGUCCUCUCUCCCGUGAAGCCAAGUUACCUUACGUUAACGGAGAUUAUGGUGACUCUGAAAUGUCUCCGUCCCGAUCUCUGCCAACGCAGAGGCCCCUGCAUGGAGGAUCACAGUCACGGCUUUAGAAGCCUAAUUGCUCUUCCUCAAAGCCGGGAGGCCACAUGGUUUCUGCCGACGGCGGGUGUUUGACAGAACCAUGGGCGGCUCUUAUCCGGCAGCCAGGUUCCCGGGAUACCCUGGACGAAAGUGGAGUUUUUUUUGGCACCCACGUGUGUUUACCCCACCCCCAACCUCCCGUGGCUUUGGUCACCCCUUUAAGGAUGGAAUAUUCAUUCAGUAGCAUUUACUCAGCGGCUGAGUGUACUGAGUGCUUGGAAAGCAAUCAGGGAGGCACCAGACUCUUUGCAGAGCAGGUUAUUAGGCAAAGCCUUAGAGUGGGCUGAGAGGCAAGUUUCUCCUUCUACCAAAUGCCAUGGUUCUGGUGGUGUUUUCACAAAAGCUGACCCUCUCUCCCUCUGAUGGGGAAUUUGAUAGAUCCCACAAAAUGCACCCAUAACUCUGCACCGACCGAUGGCACGCCCGAGUGCGAGGCUGUAAACGACGUACAGACUUGGCCAAAAUCUAGUCGGUUUUCAGGGCACCAGGUACGGCCGUUAUGUGGGUCCGCCUUUUAGUGAAGGGAAGAAACUCUGCAUCGUCCAAGAUUAAUAUGAAAUGAUUAGAUUCCCACGUGUUUUUGCCUUGGCCUCCCUCACCCGGAGGCCACGACCACGGGGAUACCGUUAUGGCGCCUUCGACUUCAGUGGACGUUGACAGA